ACGUAGGUCACAAGCGUUGUCCGGAAUUACUGGGUGUAAAGGGAGCGCAGGCGGGAGAACAAGUUGGAAGUGAAAUCCAUGGGCUCAACCCAUGAACUGCUUUCAAAACUGUUUUUCUUGAGUAGUGCAGAGGUAGGCGGAAUUCCCGGUGUAGUGGUGGAAUGCGUAGAUAUCGGGAGGAACACCAGUGGCGAAGGCGGCCUACUGGGCACCAACUGACGCUGAGGCUCGAAAGUGUGGGUAGCAAACAG
rnacentral:rRNA from 1 species